rnacentral:rRNA from 1 species
GACGAACGCUGGCGGCGUGCCUAAUACAUGCAAGUUGAGCGCUGAAGGUUGGUACUUGUACCAACUGGAUGAGCAGCGAACGGGUGAGUAACGCGUGGGGAAUCUGGCUUUGAGCGGGGGACAACAUUUGGAAACGAAUGCUAAUACCGCAUAAAAACUUUAAACACAAGUUUUAAGUUUGAAAGAUGCAAUUGCAUCACUCAAAGAUGAUCCCGCGUUGUAUUAGCUAGUUGGUGAGGUAAAGGCUCACCAAGGCGAUGAUACAUAGCCGACCUGAGAGGGGGAUCGGCCACAUUGGGACUGAGACACGGCCCAACAUCCUACGGGAGGCAGCAGUAGGGGAUCUUCGGCGAUGGACGGAAGUCUGACCGAGCAACGCCGCGUGAGUGAAGAAGGUUUUCGGAUCGUAAAACUCUGUUGGUAGAGAAGAACGUUGGUGAGAGUGGAAAGCUCAUCAAGUGACGGUAACUACACAGAAAGAGACGGCUAACUACGUG